GACAGAGGGGGCAAGCGUUGCUCGGAAUUACUGGGCGUAAAGGGCGCGUAGGCGGGAUGGCAAGUCGGUCGUGAAAUCCUUCGGCUCAACCGAAGAACGUCGAUCGAUACUGCUGUUCUUGAGGGUUGCAGAGGAGACUGGAAUUCCCGGUGUAGCGGUGAAAUGUGUAGAGAUCGGGAGGAACACCGGUGGCGAAGGCGGGUCUCUGGGCAAUUCCUGACGCUGAGGCACGAAGGCUAGGGGAGCAAACGGG
rnacentral:rRNA from 1 species